rnacentral:rRNA from 1 species
AGCUAGUUGGUGGGGUAAAGGCCUACCAAGGCGACGAUGGGUAGCCGGCCUGAGAGGGUGAACGGCCACAUUGGGACUGAGAUACGGCCCAGACUCCUACGGGAGGCAGCAGUUAAGAAUCUUGCGCAAUGGGGGGAACCCUGACGCAGCGACGCCGCGUGGAUGAUGAAGGCCUUCGGGUUGUAAAGUCCAGUAAGCAGGGAAGAAUAAGCGUGGGGUAAUAUUCCACGUGAUGACGGUACCUGCCUAAAGCCCCGGCUAACUACGUGCCAGCAGCCGCGGUAAUACGUAUGGGGCGAGCGUUGUUCGGAAUUAUUGGGCGUAAAGGGCGUCUAGGCGGGAGAUUAAGUUAGAUGUGAAAGCCAUGGGCUCAACCCAUGAAUAGCAUCUAAGACUGGUUUUCUUGAGUUCGGGAGAGGAGAGCGGAAUUCCUGGUGUAGCGGUGAAAUGCGUAGAUAUCAGGAAGAACACCGGUGGCGAAGGCGGCUCUCUGGCCUAGGACUGACGCUGAAGCGCGAAAGCGUGGGGAGCAAACAGGAUUAGAUACCCUGGUAGUCCACGCUGUAAACGUUGUAUACUAGGUGUUAGCGGCUAGUCUGCUAGUGCCGAAGCAAACGCAUUAAGUA